rnacentral:rRNA from 1 species
CUAUAAUGCAGUCGAACGCAAUCUUUGACUAAUGAGUGCUUGCACUCAGCGGUCAAAGUGCGAGUGGCGAACGGGUGAGUAACACGUGGGCAAUCUGCCCAAAAGUGGGGGAUAACACUUGGAAACAGGUGCUAAUACCGCAUCAACCGGCUGACCGCAUGGUCGGCCGGGCAAAGACGGCGUCAGCUGUCGCUUUUGGAUGAGCCCGCGGCGUAUUAACUAGUUGGUAAGGUAACGGCUUACCAAGGUGAUGAUACGUAGCCGAACUGAGAGGUUGAUCGGCCACAUUGGGACUGAGACACGGCCCAAACUCCUACGGGAGGCAGCAGUAGGGAAUCUUCCACAAUGGACGCAAGUCUGAUGGAGCAACGCCGCGUGUAUGAAGAAGGUCUUCGGAUCGUAAAAUACUGUUGUCAGAGAAGAACACGUGAUAGAGUAACUGCUAUGGCGCUGACGGUAUCUGACCAGCAAGUCACGGCUAACUACGUGCCAGCAGCCGCGGUAAUACGUAGGUGGCAAGCGUUGUCCGGAUUUAUUGGGCGUAAAGGGAACGCAGGCGGUCUUUUAAGUCUGAUGUGAAAGCCUUCGGCUUAACCGGAGAAGUGCAUUGGAAACUGGAAGACUUGAGUGCAGAAGAGGAGAGUGGAACUCCAUGUGUAGCGGUGAAAUGCGUAGAUAUAUGGAAGAACACCAGUGGCGAAAGCGGCUCUCUGGUCUGUAACUGACGCUGAGGUUCGAAA